rnacentral:rRNA from 1 species
GACGAACGCUGGCGGCGUGCUUAACACAUGCAAGUCGAACGGAACUCUUUGGAUCAAGACUUCGGUCAAGUGAGAUUGAGUUUAGUGGCGGACGGGUGAGUAACGCGUGAGGAACCUGCCUUUCAGAGGGGGACAACAGUUGGAAACGACUGCUAAUACCGCAUAACGCGUAGAGAUCGCAUGGUCUUUACGCCAAAGAUUUAUCGCUGAGAGAUGGCCUCGCGUCUGAUUAGCUAGUUGGUGAGGUAACGGCCCACCAAGGCAACGAUCAGUAGCCGGACUGAGAGGUUGACCGGCCACAUUGGGACUGAGAUACGGCCCAGACUUCUACGGGAGGCAGCAGUGGGGAAUAUUGGGCAAUGGGCGCAAGCCUGACCCAGCAACGCCGCGUGAAGGAAGAAGGCUUUCGGGUUGUAAACUUCUUUGUCGAGGAAGAGUAGAAGACUGUACUCGGCGAAUAAGCCACGGCUAACUACGUGCCAGCAGCCGCGGU